GAUGAACGCUGGCGGCGUGCUUAACACAUGCAAGUCGAACGGAAAGCCCCUUCGGGGGAAUUCGAGUGGCGAACGGGUGAGUAACACGUGGGCAAUCUGCCCCUCACUCUGGGAUAACUCGGGGAAACUCGAGCUAAUACCGGAUACUUCGUCGAGGUCGCAUGGCCAUGACGAGAAAGCUCCGACGGUGAGGGAUGAGCCCGCGGCCCAUUAGCUUGUUGGUGAGGUAACGGCUCACCAAGGCGACGAUGGGUAGCCGAGCUGAGAGGCUGCUCGGCCACACUUGGACUGAGACACGGCCCAGACUCCUACGGGAGGCAGCAGUGGAGAAUCUUGCGCAAUGGGCGAAAGCCUGACGCAGCAACGCCGCGUGUGGGAUGAAGGCUUUCGGGUCGUAAACCACUUUCAGCAGGGAUGAAACUGACAGUACCUGCAGAAGAAGCCCCGGCUAAAUACGUGCCAGCCGCCGCUGUAAAAC
rnacentral:rRNA from 1 species